AAGGUUUUAAGUUAAAUUAAACUAAUAGCCUUCAAAGUUAUAAAUAUAAGUAAAUAUUCUUUUAAGCCUUA
rnacentral:tRNA from 1 species